UUUACUCGGAAUAUUACAGGUUUAGAUGUUUUAUUUCCUACUGCACAAAUUUUCAUUUCGUCUUCUUUUUUGCUGGCAUUACUAGAAGAGAAGGUAUAGCUGGCAUCACCUCUGAGUGCGACGCCUCCUUCACUUACCUUUUAGUUUAAGAACAGCUUGAAUUGUUCUAAAUUUAAUAGUUCUGGCGACGAAGGCUCGUCUAUGGAACAUCACGGCUAGACGUGCUGUACUCCGUAGCGUCUAACAGAGAACAGAAUCAAAUGAAGUUAUACUGCACUGUAAAUAAUUCCAUCACUAUGCGGAGGAUUUCCGUCAUUCUACAGAGGAAGUGCAGGUAAAAAUGCGGAAAGCAUGCCGUAUUUCAAAAAUACCGCAAAUAUUCCGUGAAUAUAAACAGGGUGCUCACUGUGUCAAAUUUUGCGAACAUUUCACUGUAGUAAUACGGUGGCUACGCUGUUUUGCACGAAAUAGACAGAAUUCCGUAUUUUUGUUAUGCGAACAUCUGUACUUUUGCGAGGAAAACUAUACACGCUGUCGGAAUGAGUGAUUGUACUCACAAAGUUUAAUCUAACAAUAUUUUAUUGAACACGCGAGCUGUACACAUUAUGAAAAUACGUACAAAAUGUGUGAGCCAGCCUUCUACCAAAAGCUGCAAUAACAGAUGGUAUUAAUAUUUAUACGCGCCCUCCGUUCCGGUUGCAGUUUGCCGCCCAUACGGGCCUUGUAUAACGCUGAUCUAUGCGCAAAUAUAUGCGUGUGUUUACAGUGGUCUCAAAUUAAGUGAUUUGCAGUUUGUACAGUAUAUAUGUUUAAGUGAACGAAUAGCCGUGGCCAUAAGUGCCAAUAUAAACAAGCUUGCGGCACUGAGGUGCUGGUGCACUGGGAAUGACAUUGGUGCUCUACGCCAAAAGUUGUGCACACUAUAAACCAGUACUGAAACGCAGGGCGCGGUACAAUUACCAUAACUGCGUUUACAUUUAGCAACAAAUGGCCCCGAUGGGAAGUGGCGGCCUAUAGAUGCAAGUACAGUGGCCAGAUAAAAUUUUCGAAUGCGGGAAGCAAUUAACUCAAUCGUAAAAGGGCUUUGCUGGACUAUAUUGUAGUUGGUUUAAUUAAUUAUCACGAUAUUUUCGAAAUAUCUCAUAUCUGCAAGUCACUGUCUAUUCAUUAGCAGUGUGUUCAAAGAGGCUGGUUAGUGCGACAUAAAAGGGCUACGUUGGACGAGCGCGUAAAGAGCGCAGUGCAGAGGGCUGACUAGCAACCAAACGCUUUAUUUGCAGCAGCAGCAUAGUUAUGCCCUUCAUGUUGCGUUCAAUGAUGUAUUUAUAUGCUGCUUCUGAAAAUAAAGCAUUUGGUUGCUGGUCAGCGCUCUGUCACGUGCUCAUAUUUACUCGCUCGUGCUGUGUCGCGCUGUUCUUGUUUUUUUUAAUUCUAAACUGUGUGUUCAUUGACAUCUAGCGAUUGCACAUAAUCUUCGCUGUUCAUGCGUUGUCAAUUCUUGCGUUGACAUUUGGCGCUUCAUCUUGAAACAACACCGGUGUACGCGCACGUUCUCGUAUGGCAGAAUAAAGAUCGCGAGCAUGCACAAACCGACACAUGUGCAAACUACGGGAAGCUGGCUGAAGAUGAAGGACCUAGUACCGUGCCAGUACUGUGUGUACUCUCAAAAAGAAAAGAAGGAAAAAAAGAACGACCAGUGCCGAGUAGGUCUCACGAUUCGAGAUUUAUUUCUUUUUAAGCUAGCGUCUAAUACCAUUUCUUCCAUGUGCUUUAUUCAUAUGUAAAUGUUAUGACAAGACUCAUUAUUUACCCGUUCAUUACAUGCACCAACCAGCCCAAAUUAGCGCCAUACUAGAGGUUAUUGACUCAUCGCAGUGCACUACUACGUACUUCAUUGCAACACUGAGGCGUGCUAACCUCCCUGCCUUUCUUCUUCUUGUAUUCGCUAUCUCUUUGUAUAAAAUGCACUACCUUGUGGGAGAGAAAGCGUUCUUCUCUUGUAAUAUUCAGUUAUUUGUCAAACAAUUAUUUUACUGUUCCAGCAACUAGAGCACAAGUGCGAAAAGCAAACUGAUUCUGUUUUGUUCUGCGUGCUCACAGAAUGCGGCCCCAGGGGGCAGCGUGCGCUGCGCUUCCGAUCUAAGGAGUGGUAGACAAAGCUGCACAUGUGUAGUCAGCCGGCUUUUACCCUUUCAUGUUGUAAAAAUGGUUAGAUUACAGUAUGGUUUGAUUUAUAUUCAAGUUAGUGGAGCAAGGCCGUACGGAAGAUAGAUUAACGCGUCGGGAGUGAAGAACAGAAGCGAUGCAUUAUUAGGCUGCUUGAAUCUCGGCAUGGUCGAAUUGGCAAAGUUCUGACUUUUUCGCUGUGUGGUGUACGCUUGUGUACUCGUUAUGUGCCGCCACAACGAGGGGAUAUUUGCAUUGAAUGUGUUUCACUUCAUCUACAAAACUCUGCACGCUGUGGCAUCGAAGAAGUUGCCCUGUGUUCGUGUGUACGUAUGCACUUGGACACCCGGUAGCCUGCUCUCAAUAGAUGUUCAAGAGACUACGCACGCUCGUAAUUUGCUGAUGAGGUAAGUCCAUUUUAAUUUUAUUGUGUUUGCUUAACUUACGUGUUAAAAUAAUGCGUGGUAAGCUGGCGUCGCAAACAGAACUAUUGUUUCAAAAGGCCAGUGAGCGGCGUCUUCGGGGCGAAAAUGACGCACGAAUCAGGAAAAGGAUCACCUGUCUUUUCAGAUCGAUUUCAAUGGUAGCGCAAUCGGCUCGAUGGCGAUCGCAAUUUUCGGUGUGACACGUAUACCGUUUUCCUCAAUUGCGUUGAAAGUGUAGAAUAAAACCGCAUUCAGUUGCCCAUUUCUAUUGACGCUUGUAGCAGCUUGAGAGCACACUUUAUCCGAUACGGCAAAAACUUCUGUUUGAAUACAGAACUGAACGUUCAAAAUAAUACCAGUGGUUCACUACGUGUGAUCGUAACUUUCUUGCUUGCAUGCAUGUUUUUAUUGUAGCGACAAAAAGAGUUCUGUGCUCUGGCUGCUCUGCUGUGUUUCGUUGGUACAAGUGCUUGUGGUGCAGCAAGACGUUUUGCUCCGAAUGAUGUCGGGGCAGUCAAGGCAUUCGUCUCAGUAAGCAAGCUGUAAAUGUAUCAGUUGCAGAAAAAUGUGGACCUACAAGAGAAGCGAAUGCAAUCAUCAUAGACUGUAUAUUGAGAAUAAUUCAGUUGUAUUACUAAAGCAGAGAGUAUAUAUUCAUGGAAAUCAGAUUGUAUUGUUACUUAGCAGGAACUAGGUAACUUAUCAUUACUAAUUAAUCAUUUUCUUUUAUUGAAAAACUAGUUGCUGUUGUCCUGCUGGAGCUGAGAAGAGGUCUGCUGCCUGCAAUGGGUCCAUCUCUGUAAAGUUAUUGCAGUGUUGUUGCUCUCAAAGUUCAAAAAAGGAAGGUGUGAGCUGUUGCUAAGGUUCCGACCAGAAAGCAAAGCCAGUAUAAAAGGGUCCACACCACUGAUCUUUACUACAGGGAGAGAAUAACACAUCGAACCCCCUCAACUGAAGCCAACCUUCUCCCAGAAGUUAGCGCUUCACAACUUUGCAGCAGCACUUCAUCUGCACGGCGGCAAGGUUAUUCUUGCAAGGUGCUGGGGUUCAAGAGCAACUUUCACCAGGAAAGAGUGGAAGCCAAGUGAUUGAAGAAAAUAAAGUUGCUUCUAUGAUCUAUACAA